rnacentral:misc_RNA from 1 species
GUAGGUGAACCUGCGGAAGGAUCAUUAACACGUAUCCAACGUUAAACCCCCCUGUGAACUUUCAACACUGCUCUUGCAGCCCGUCUUCCUCCAGCAAUCCCUAGUAAAUCAUGGUGAACAGUUUGAUUUAGGGACUUCUGAGUCACGAGAAAUUACAGUUGCAAUUGUAGCGGUAGUGUAAGCGCCUUAGCUUCUCCUAGGCCUUUGAUGGAUUGGAAAGUGUCAUCAGAGAUACCGAAGAGAAGGCCCC